GCCCCCGUAGCUCAGCGGAAGAGCAGUGGGUUUCUAACCCAUUGGCCGUAGGUUCGACUCCUGCCGGGGGCACCA
rnacentral:tRNA from 1 species